rnacentral:rRNA from 1 species
AUUGAACGCUGGCGGCACGCCUAACGCAUGCAAGUCGAGCGGUAACGGGGUAUGUAGCAAUACAUACUGCUGACGAGCGGCGGACGGGUGAGGAAACUGUAGGAACUUGCCCUUCAGAGGGGGAUAACCAAGGGAAACUUUGGCUAAUACCGCGCAAUCUCGAGAGAGUAAAGCUGCCGCAAGGUGGCGCUGAAGGAGGGGCCUGCAUCCGAUUAGCUAGUUGGUGAGGUAAGAGCUUACCAAGGCGAUGAUCGGUAACUGGUCUGAGAGGACGACAAGUCAACCUGGGACUGAGACACGGCCGAGACUCCUACGGGAGGCAGCAGUGGGGAAUCUUGGACAAUGGGGGCAACCCUGAUCCAGCGAUGCCGCGUGGGUGAAGAAGGCCUUCGGGUUGUAAAGCCCUUUAGGCCGGGACGAAGGUUAUGUGGGGAUAAUCCAUGUAGCUUGACGGUACCGGCAGAAUAAGCACCGGCAAACUCUGUGCCAGCAGCCGCGGUAA